rnacentral:rRNA from 1 species
GAUCAUGGCUCAGAGCGAACGCUGGCGGCAGGCCUAACACAUGCAAGUCGAACGAACUCUUCGGAGUUAGUGGCGGACGGGUGAGUAACACGUGGGAACGUGCCUUUAGGUUCGGAAUAACUCAGGGAAACUUGUGCUAAUACCGAAUGUGCCCUUCGGGGGAAAGAUUUAUCGCCUUUAGAGCGGCCCGCGUCUGAUUAGCUAGUUGGUGAGGUAAAGGCUCACCAAGGCUACGAUCAGUAGCUGGUCUGAGAGGAUGACCAGCCACAUUGGGACUGAGACACGGCCCAAACUCCUACGGGAGGCAGCAGUGGGGAAUCUUGCGCAAUGGGCGAAAGCCUGACGCAGCCAUGCCGCGUGGAUGAUGAAGGUCUUAGGAUUGUAAAAUCCUUUCACCGGUGAAGAUAAUGACUGUAGCCGGAGAAGAAGCCCCGGCUAACUUCGUG